UACGAAGGGGGCUAGCGUUGCUCGGAAUCACUGGGCGUAAAGCGCACGUAGGCGGAUUACUAAGUCAGGGGUGAAAUCCUGGAGCUCAACUCCAGAACUGCCUUUGAUACUGGCGAUCUCGAGUCCGGGAGAGGUGAGUGGAACUGCGAGUGUAGAGGUGAAAUUCGUAGAUAUUCGCAAGAACACCAGUGGCGAAGGCGGCUCACUGGCCCGGUACUGACGCUGAGGUGGCGAAAGCGUGGGAGCAAACAGG
rnacentral:rRNA from 1 species